rnacentral:rRNA from 1 species
GACGAACGCUGGCGGCGUGCUUAACACAUGCAAGUCGAACGAUGAAGGAGGAGCUUGCUCCUCUGGAUUAGUGGCGAACGGGUGAGUAACACGUGAGCAAUCUGCCCUUGACUCUGGGAUAAGCGCUGGAAACGGCGUCUAAUACCGGAUACGACCCUCGGAGGCAUCUCCUGUGGGUGGAAAGAACUUCGGUCAAGGAUGAGCUCGCGGCCUAUCAGCUAGUUGGUGAGGUAACGGCUCACCAAGGCGACGACGGGUAGCCGGCCUGAGAGGGUGACCGGCCACACUGGGACUGAGACACGGCCCAGACUCCUACGGGAGGCAGCAGUGGGGAAUAUUGCACAAUGGGCGCAAGCCUGAUGCAGCAACGCCGCGUGAGGGACGACGGCCUUCGGGUUGUAAACCUCUUUUAGCAGGGAAGAAGCGAAAGUGACGGUACCUGCAGAAAAAGCACCGGCUAACUACGUGCCAGCCGCCGCAGUAAUAC